UUACGUGAAUACAUAGCGUAAUGAAGCGAACCGGGGGAACUGAAACAUCUAAGUACCCCGAGGAAAAGAAAUCAACCGAGAUUCCCCCAGUAGCGGCGAGCGAACGGGGAGCAGCCCAGAGUCUGAAUCAGCUUGUGUGUUAGUGGAACGGUCUGGAAAGUCCGACGGUACAGGGUGAUAGUCCCGUACACCAAAAUGCACAGGUUGUGAACUCGAAGAGUAGGGCGGGACACGUGGUAUCCUGUCUGAAUAUGGGGGGACCAUCCUCCAAGGCUAAAUACUCCUGACUGACCGAUAGUGAACCAGUACCGUGAGGGAAAGGCGAAAAGAACCCCGGCGAGGGGAGUGAAAAAGAACCUGAAACCGUGUACGUACAAGCAGUGGGAGCCUCUUUAUGGGGUGACUGCGUACCUUUUGUAUAAUGGGUCAGCGACUUAUAUUCUGUAGCAAGGUUAACCGUAUAGGGGAGCCGAAGGGAAACCGAGUCUUAACUGGGCGUUAAGUUGCAGGGUAUAGACCCGAAACCCGGUGAUCUAGCCAUGGGCAGGUUGAAGGUUGGGUAACACUAACUGGAGGACCGAACCGACUAAUGUUGAAAAAUUAGCGGAUGACUUGUGGCUGGGGGUGAAAGGCCAAUCAAACCGGGAGAUAGCUGGUUCUCCCCGAAAGCU
rnacentral:rRNA from 1 species